CUAAUGGAAACUUUCAAAACUCCUGAGUGAGCAAAGGAAAAUGUCUGUAGGCCAAAUGCAGCCCACCAUGGGCAGUUUGUGCAGUGAACUGCAGUGAAGUUACAGAAUAAGGACCAGAGAAUGCAGACACCAGAGGGGAUUGUUUAUGCCACUUGGAAUAGCCUAGUGUCUAAACAGGUCUUUGGGAAAUUCACUUAGCAUCCAAUGUUACAGACUUACCUGGUCUGAUUGGCUUGGUCCACUAAUUGUGUUGCUAGCUGGUAAGAAUUAUGUUAGGUACCAUAUCCCUCAGGUAUUCUCUAAAAGAUGAUUAAUUUGAGUUGAUUACUUUCAACAAAACAAAAAGGAAUCAAGGAGCCGAGUGUGGUGGUGUGUACCUGUAGUUCCAGCUACUCAGGAGGCUGAGGCAGGAGGAUUGUUUAGGAAAUCGAGGCUGCAGUGAGCUAUGAUCGCACUGCACUUCAGCCUGGGUGACAGAGUGAGACUUUGUUUCUAAAGAAAGAAACUGAAAGGUGAAGGAAAGUUACGAGAUUUCCAUUUCCAGAAACCGAAGCCUCGAUGUUAUCCACAGGGAAGGUGUUGCUCAGAUUGUAUAUACCAGUGCUGUACGUUUCCUUGGACAUUUAAAUGAUGAUAUGUCUAUUUUCAUUUCUAAGAUGGUUCUGCCAGAAUGUCUAGGCUCUGUCAUCAUAUACUACGGUCUAUCCAACAACACUUAUUUAUUUUUCCUUCUCUAUUAGUUUAGAAGUUAUAUUGUGAUGUCUAUUAUUUUAGCAGUAACUUUAGUUACUUAAACUGCAUGGUUAAUAGUCUAAACUUAAUUACUAACUUUACUUUCUAAUAAAAAAAUACAAGUUCUUAUAAUGCUAUAAUCCUGAUCACCCCUUCCAACUUCUACACUAUUUCUGUCCAGUAUUUUUACUUUUCUUUUACCCUAUAAACAUUCUUACUGUUUUAUUCUCAGUAUUUGUUUAUAUUUACCUGAUAUUUGCCAGUAUCUUCGCUCACCAUUCCUUGAAUC
rnacentral:lncRNA from 1 species